rnacentral:rRNA from 1 species
UACGUAGGGGGGCAAGCGUUGUCCGGAUUUAUUGGGCGUAAAGAGCGUGUAGGCGGCCACACAGGUCUGCUGUGAAAACUCGAGGCUCAACCUCGAGACGUCGGUUGAAACCGUAUGGCUAGAGUCCGGAAGAGGAGAGUGGAAUUCCCGGUGUAGCGGUGAAAUGCGCAGAUAUCGGGAAGAACACCCGUGGCGAAGGCGGCUCUCUGGGACGGUACUGACGCUGAGACGCGAAAGCGUGGGGAGCGAACAGG